UGGGGAAUAUUGCGCAAUGGGGGCAACCCUGACGCANCCAUGCCGCGUGAAUGAAGAAGNCCUUCGGGUUGUAAAGUUCUUUCGGUAGCGAGGAAGGCAUUUAGUUUAAUAAACUAAGUGAUUGACGUUAACUACAGAAGAAGCACCGGCUAACUCCGUGCCAGCAGCCGCGGUAAUACGGAGGGUGCGAGCGUUAAUCGGAAUANNNUNNUNUUUNGGGGGUNUAAGGGGCACCCCGGCUGUGAUUAAAUGAAGUGAAAACCCCGGUUUACCUGGGAAUGCAUUCAUACUGGGUCGCUAGAGUACUUUAGGGAGGGGNNNUANGAGGGGUAGAAUUCCACGUCUAGCGGUGAAAUGCGUAGAGAUGUGGAGGAAUACCGAAGGCGAAGGCAGCCCCUUGGGAAUGUACUGACGCUCAUGUGCGAAAGCGUGGGGAGCAAACAGGAUUAGAUACCCUGGUAGUCCACGCUGUAAACGAUGUCGAUUUGGGGGUUGAACUUUAAGUUUGGCGCCCGUAGCUAACGUGAUAAAUCGACCGCCUGGGGAGUACGGCCGCAAGGUUA
rnacentral:rRNA from 1 species